CGCCAGGGUUGCCUUCCAAGAGGAGCAGACGUGGAUAUUUCUAGCCUCCUUUUUCACAAACGAAAAGGGAGUGUUCCACGCUUCUGGAAGCUCCUUCCAUCCAUCUCAUGGGCCAGGGAGGAGAGCCAUCCCUUGGGCCUGCUCCUCCUCAGCUGGGGAGGAAGGCACAGGAUUAAUGCUGACAAUACAAGCACUACCUAGCCAAGCUGCAAUUCAAGCAAGAAGCAUAAAUUCUGCUGUCCCUCGACUCCAUCUGCUCACGGAGCUAAAGAGAUAUGAAGGAUGUGGCCAGAGCGAGCCAGUCCAUUACGGAGUGUUCUGGAGAGGCUGAGGCAGAGAUGGAGCCAGGGAUUAGAGGACAUCCAGGAGCAAUUGCAGCCCCUUUGAACUAAGCAUGACUUCUGCAAGACACCUAACAAAAACUAACUUCCCAGGGAUGGAGAAUUGGAAAAAUCUCAUUUCAGGCUGUAGAUCCCAAUUAUUUUAGCUCUGUGAGGCCAGAGGUGGGCUGGUGGGAGGCAUUUUCACAUCUCCCAGGAGGUCAGGAACCCUCAGCUGAAGGUCUGGGUGCUUGCUGGAGGAAUGGUUCUGUUCCAUGCCUGGCUGACAACCCAGCUUUCUGUAGGAAAGCUUCUGCACAGCCCAGCCUAAAGAAACUCUGUGGUUCUUGCAGCAAGGUUGCUGGUGCUUUGUCUCCCCUCGAGGCAAGGAAGGAACGUGGAUUUGCAUCCAAAAGCGAGCCCUG